AGAUUGAACGCUGGCGGCAUGCCUAACACAUGCAAGUCGAACGGGAGUAGCAAUACUCUAGUGGCGGACGGGUGAGGAAUACGUAGGAAUUUGCCCUUAAGUGGGGGAUAACCCGGGGAAACCCGGAUUAAUACCGCAUGACCUCGAAAGAGCAAAGUGGGGGAUCGCAAGACCUCACGCUUUUGGAGAAGCCUACGUCGGAUUAGCUAGUUGGUGAGGUAAUGGCUCACCAAGGCGACGAUCCGUAACUGGUCUGAGAGGAUGAUCAGUCACACCGGAACUGAGACACGGUCCGGACUCCGACGGGAGGCAGCAGUGGGAAUAGUUGGACAAUGGGCGCAAGCCUGAUCCAGCAAUGCCGCGUGUGUGAAGAGGCCGUUCGGUGUAAGACUACGUUUAAGUUAGGGAAGAAAAACGUCGACU
rnacentral:rRNA from 1 species